GCCAGUUUGGCUCAGUGAUAAGAGCAUCGGCCUGCAGACUGAAGAGUCACGGGUUUGAUUCCUGUCAAGGGCA
rfam:Myotis davidii contig54749, whole genome shotgun sequence.